GUGUCUUCUUCGGUGAAAGUUAUGGGCUCUUCAACUUUUUGCCGCUUGGGGGAUGCAGCUGGUAUGUUGGUUGCCUUUUGCCGGGAUUCCCCCGAGAUGGCAUUGACGGAAUCCGGCAGGGGCCGAUCAUCCGGCCACUCCUUAUCGGCGACCAUAGCCGGAGGCAGUUGUGCAAAGGCCUCGUGAGAAGGCAUCGGAUGAGGGAAGG
rnacentral:lncRNA from 1 species